GACGAACGCUGGCGGCGUGCUUAACACAUGCAAGUCGAACGGAAAGGCCCUGCUUUGGUGGGGUGCUCGAGUGGCGAAAGGGUGAGUAACACGUGAGUAACCUGCCCUUGACUUUGGGAUAACUUCAGGAAACUGGGGCUAAUACCGGAUAGGAGCUCCUGCUGCAUGGUGGGGGUUGGAAAGUUUCGGCGGUUGGGGAUGGACUCGCGGCUUAUCAGCUUGUUGGUGGGGUAGUGGCUUACCAAGGCUUUGACGGGUAGCCGGCCUGAGAGGGUGACCGGCCACAUUGGGACUGAGAUACGGCCCAGACUCCUACGGGAGGCAGCAGUGGGGAAUAUUGCACAAUGGGCGGAAGCCUGAUGCAGCAACGCCGCGUGCGGGAUGACGGCCUUCGGGUUGUAAACCGCUUUCGCCUGUGACGAAGCGUGAGUGACGGUAAUGGGUAAAGAAGCACCGGCUAACUACGUG
rnacentral:rRNA from 1 species